AUUUGUUUCCACAUAAUGAAGGCUUAAAAGGGAUAAAAGGGAGAGUACAAACCAUCUCUCAUAUUUCUAUAAACUUAUUUGCGAUUAUAGUCAAUGUCUGUUUUUUUGUUUUAUUGUAUUUGGUUCAGUAAUAUUGCAACCAUUAAUAGCGUUUCGAUGUAACACUAAACGAUCAAUUGUUUAAUUACAAGCUUGACUAAAAGGCAGGCUGUCAACUUCCGGACUACAAAAAUAACACCACACUGUAUAUUCUCUGAUGGGGUCGAAUUGCUCAUGACCAACGAGGACGAUCCUUUCAGCGGAGACACCAACACCGCUUCACGACCUGCCGUGUAGGGGGGUCUGGGGGGGACGAAAUCUUUUGUCAAAUAAAACAGCUGGCAAUCGUCUUUUUUAUUUUUGCAACCAAGAAAGCAUCUACAGCUUUGCGGUUUCGUGGCCUCUCCUCAUCUGGAAUCGUCUUUACACACACUGGCACUGCACCGGGACGGACGUGGAUUUGUUUCUAAUGGACCCUGCGCCUGUAUCUCCUUUGUCGUUCUGACCGGUCUCUCACUCGCCUUCGGGGAGAGUAUAAAUACAGUAUAAAGACUUUGGGAUCACACAGAGGCAAGUGCAAGAACCAGUAGACGCGUCUUGAACCCGAUGACGCUUUCCUGAACCGUUAACGCCUGGAGCACGUCUGUACACUGUUACACGUCCGUUACACGCCUCACGUCUGAGGCAGACACACUGCCGGCCACGGUGGAAACAGCCUAAGAUCCUUUUAACGAGGUCUCUAGAGGAACCGGAUCCCGGUCUUCGUCAGUCUGAUGUUCCUGAAAGAGGCACGCAAAGAUCAAGCAACCCCCUCUACAACACACAAACACACACACAAACACACACACACACACACACACACACACACUGUAUUCCAGGGCUCCACAGGAGAAUAACCGUGCUGUUUUCUGCAAAUGCUGUUGAAAGAUAGCAAAACAGUACCUAAUAUAAACGCACGCACACAAACACACACACACACUUGCGUGCACAUGAACAAAAUUAAACCAUCACAACUGGCAAGCUGAAUGGGUCGAUAAGGUAAAACCUGAACCAAUAUCUGCACUCCCCAAAACACACACACACACACACACACACACACACGGCGCAGGAGGACAGAUGCUUCCUUGUCUCGUCCUCUGACACUCUAUUCUGAGCCAGCUGGAGAGAAGAUGGGAUUGGGGGUUGAUGGGUUCCAUCUUCUUUGCUUCUUUCCCUGCCAUACUCGUUCUCCCCAAGGCUGUGGGUUCCCCGUCGGGCUGUCUGUCCUCGCCGGCUAAGCCCUCAUCCUACAAACAAUACAUAUCCUUGUCAAUCCCUGUGUAAUACUGUGUAAUUGCUUGGCUGAAGUGGGAGUUGUUUACCCUUUUCCGGUGACGCAACCAGCCCCCUACCCGCUAAUCACCAAACCCUGUGUCACUGAACUACAUGGUGUACAUGUAGAAACAGAGUGGGCGGAGAUACGAUUUUGUUGUUUGAUAUUUUUGUCCAGGACUGAGGAGACUAUGCGACUGAAGAGCCUUAAAUAUAGGUCUGUGAGACUCGUGGGUGGGCGACCCUCCCUAUAGGGUAAGGCAUACUUAACCCACACCCUGACCCCAGGCCAAGGGAGCCAGACACGCGGAGAGAGGGAUAUACCUCGAUACAGGAGUAGAGGACAGACGGAAGACAAACAAAAGGCAGAACUGUGGAAAGAUAAAGAGAGAGAGAGAGGUAUGCAGGGAGCACAGAGAAGUGUUUGUGUUUGAGGCAGUGUUUGACUGACGAGAAAGAAAGCAGCCGGACGGAAGAAAAGAAAAAGAGAAAUGAAACUAAGAAACGGUAAAAGAAGCGCAGAGGGGGAGGAAUUAGUAUCGCUGAAGGAUGACUAGCGACGCCAUGGAACACCUUUAGGGCUGGAACAACUCCCUACUCCUCCCUCCCUCUCACCCGGUCUGCUGGCUUUCUCUGCUUGACUGCUACAGUGCAACAAAGAGCGCGAGAGAGAGAGAGAGAGAGAGAGCGCGUUCAGCGGAGGUAGUCUCGGCAGCCAGUCGGAUGCCAGUGGCUCUGAGUAAGGACUACAUACGUCGUCGAGAAGGAUUCCACCAGAGGUCUGGCGUCGCUCCCGACGCACUGACAGACGGAAUAAGAUCAGCCGCCAGAGACACGGCUUCAGGACUCCCACAGAGCGGCUGGGAACGAUAAGGACAAAACUACAACCCAAGCACCGAAAACUAACGAAAAAAAGACUCCUCUG
ensembl:lncRNA